AAGCGUGGCCCUGCCUUACUGCAAAGCCGAGCAGGAGUUAACUUAGCCCACAGGCCGUGUCCCGGCCUAGCAGAGUCCCAGGAGGUUGCUAUGGAGAGCAGCCAGAAUCUGUCCAACUCCAGACUGAGAUGUGCAGUGCCUGGGUGCUCGGGGCCAGCAGAUCCCUUCCUGCUGAGCACCUGUCCAACAGCUGGAGAGCAGUGAUGGCGGGAGCAGGAGCAGCACGAGGCCCUGGGGAGGGCUGAGGGCUCAGGAUCCAAAAUCUGCCGCUCUCAGAGCCACUUUCUAGCGAAGUCUAAGGGCCUGCUCACGCUUGCCGCCUUGGAACGCGCGAGCGCUGCUGCCUGCUGCUUUGUGAGUACCUUCACCAGGGCUGGUGCCAGGGCUUCGGCGGCGCUCGCUGCCCUUUUCCUCCGGCAGCUGCCAAUGGGGAAACAAGACCUGGGGUUUGGGCCAGGCGCCGCCGAGGCACCGAGACUGGGCUGAGCCGGAGCCCCCGGGCAGGGCUGAAAGGGAAGGCUCGGCCAUGCGCCUCGAGCAGGGACAAGCGGGUCUUUUCUGGGACACUGCAGGGCUGUGGGUCUGUCUGGUCGUCCUGGUAACUUCUAGGCUUGGGCUGUUGCUCGGGGCAGGGAAUGCUCAGGGCUUUGUGUCCCUGUCACAGCCCCUUGGCCACAGCCACGCUCUGCAUUUAAGGCAGGUGGGGGCAUAAACCCUCGACACUGACACACGAGACCCCCAGCCCCGUUCCCAGGGGCAGCGGUCAGCAAAGCAGGCAGGCUGGCCAAGAAAUAAUGGAAAUUAAUUGUCACUGAAGCUUAGACACAAAUAUUUAUUAAGCACAACCUCCCCUUCCCCUUGCGCUGUAUUCAUUUCUAAUAUAUUAAUUCAUUUGGCAGAUUAUUUUUU